CCCCUCUCAGGAUCACACCUGGAGAAUUUCCAGUACUCUACCAGUCUCAGCUAUUUGAAGGAGAGUCAAGCAGAGAUAGACCCAUUCCAUUCCUAGCUUGAGCAGUGGCUAGCGAGUGGAAGACAAUCUACUAUAAGU